UAAUAAAUUGUUUAAAUUAAAGUUUGUUAUAGCAACUUUUUUUUAUUACUCCAAGUUAUAGUAAGAAUGUUUUGUAUUAGGUUUUUGUUUAUAAUUGUAACAAUAUAAUUCAUUUUUCCAUUAUGAUUUAGUUUUCAACCAUCAUGAUUUGGGCAAGAGCUGUAUAGAUCGAAAAUUACGAGGAAAUAGAAGCUGUUGUGCCAAGAAGGUGGAUAAAUACAGAAAAAAAAAAUACUAUUUUGGCCUUCUGAAUUAAUAUAUGAUGUACAGCAGCAGCAGAGGAGGAGGAUGAAUCAGAUAAUUGUUUUACAAGUUCCAAAGGCACAUUAAAAGUCAAAAGUAAUGUUUAUGAGUUACCAAAUUUUCCGUUGCCUCCACCAGUUUUGCAAUCCAUACCAACAAAAUCAUUAAAAAGAUCAUUUGAUUUUAAUUUGUCACCUGGAUCAGUUAUUUUAAAAC